UACGGAGGGUGCAAGCGUUGUCCGGAUUUAUUGGGUUUAAAGGGUGCGUAGGCGGCCCGUUAAGUCAGUGGUGAAAGCCUCCAGCUCAACUGGAGAACUGCCAUUGAUACUGACGGGCUUGAGUACAGACGAGGUUGGCGGAAUUGAUUGUGUAGCGGUGAAAUGCGUAGAUAUCUGGAGGAACACCGGUGGCGAAGGCGGCAUCCUGGACCGGCAUUGACGCUGAGGCGCGAAAGCCAGGGGAGCAAACGGG
rnacentral:rRNA from 1 species